GUCUACAGCCACAACACCCUGAAUGCACCUGAUCUCAUCAGAUCUCAGAAGCUAAGCAGGGUUGGACUUGGUUGGUACCUGGAUGGGAGACUACUUGGGAAUACCGGAUGCUGUAGGCU
rnacentral:rRNA from 1 species